rnacentral:rRNA from 4 species
AAAUUGAAGAGUUUGAUCAUGGCUCAGAUUGAACGCUGGCGGCAGGCCUAACACAUGCAAGUCGAGCGGUAGCACAGAGAGCUUGCUCUCGGGUGACGAGCGGCGGACGGGUGAGUAAUGUCUGGGAAACUGCCUGAUGGAGGGGGAUAACUACUGGAAACGGUAGCUAAUACCGCAUAACGUCGCAAGACCAAAGUGGGGGACCUUCGGGCCUCAUGCCAUCAGAUGUGCCCAGAUGGGAUUAGCUAGUAGGUGGGGUAACGGCUCACCUAGGCGACGAUCCCUAGCUGGUCUGAGAGGAUGACCAGCCACACUGGAACUGAGACACGGUCCAGACUCCUACGGGAGGCAGCAGUGGGGAAUAUUGCACAAUGGGCGCAAGCCUGAUGCAGCCAUGCCGCGUGUGUGAAGAAGGCCUUCGGGUUGUAAAGCACUUUCAGCGGGGAGGAAGGCGGUGAGGUUAAUAACCUCACCGAUUGACGUUACCCGCAGAAGAAGCACCGGCUAACUCCGUGCCAGCAGCCGCGGUAAUACGGAGGGUGCAAGCGUUAAUCGGAAUUACUGGGCGUAAAGCGCACGCAGGCGGUCUGUCAAGUCGGAUGUGAAAUCCCCGGGCUCAACCUGGGAACUGCAUUCGAAACUGGCAGGCUAGAGUCUUGUAGAGGGGGGUAGAAUUCCAGGUGUAGCGGUGAAAUGCGUAGAGAUCUGGAGGAAUACCGGUGGCGAAGGCGGCCCCCUGGACAAAGACUGACGCUCAGGUGCGAAAGCGUGGGGAGCAAACAGGAUUAGAUACCCUGGUAGUCCACGCUGUAAACGAUGUCGAUUUGGAGGUUGUGCCCUUGAGGCGUGGCUUCCGGAGCUAACGCGUUAAAUCGACCGCCUGGGGAGUACGGCCGCAAGGUUAAAACUCAAAUGAAUUGACGGGGGCCCGCACAAGCGGUGGAGCAUGUGGUUUAAUUCGAUGCAACGCGAAGAACCUUACCUGGUCUUGACAUCCACAGAACUUAGCAGAGAUGCUUUGGUGCCUUCGGGAACUGUGAGACAGGUGCUGCAUGGCUGUCGUCAGCUCGUGUUGUGAAAUGUUGGGUUAAGUCCCGCAACGAGCGCAACCCUUAUCCUUUGUUGCCAGCGGUUAGGCCGGGAACUCAAAGGAGACUGCCAGUGAUAAACUGGAGGAAGGUGGGGAUGACGUCAAGUCAUCAUGGCCCUUACGACCAGGGCUACACACGUGCUACAAUGGCAUAUACAAAGAGAAGCGACCUCGCGAGAGCAAGCGGACCUCAUAAAGUAUGUCGUAGUCCGGAUUGGAGUCUGCAACUCGACUCCAUGAAGUCGGAAUCGCUAGUAAUCGUAGAUCAGAAUGCUACGGUGAAUACGUUCCCGGGCCUUGUACACACCGCCCGUCACACCAUGGGAGUGGGUUGCAAAAGAAGUAGGUAGCUUAACCUUCGGGAGGGCGCUUACCACUUUGUGAUUCAUGACUGGGGUGAAGUCGUAACAAGGUAACCGUAGGGGAACCUGCGGUUGGAUCACCUCCUUACCUUAAAGAA